AGAGGUCUAUAAAAUAAUAAAUGCUGUAGAUAGAGAAUAUAGGGAUUUAUUAUUUGGAGACAGGUUUAAGACAAACAGAACAAAGUUCUUUUUUCCAGUGUAUAAUUAACUUGUGGAACUUAUUGGCAAGGCAUGCAGGAUAGGUCCAUCAGCGGGUGUUGAAUGUAGUGAGAAGGCUGUAGUUUCCAAAUUAGAAUUUCCUAGACCUCUAAAUGUUCAAGGUUGUAAAGGAAGGUGGUUUGGUCUGGAUAGGUCAUACCUAAAUAUUUUUCCCUUUAUGGUCUACUAUGUACCACUCAGAGAGACAGAAUGCUGGGAUAGAUGGGCCUGUGAUCUAACAAUCAUGGCACCUCUUGUGUUUUCAAUUAGUCUCCACAGAUAAUUCAUUUUUGCUUAUCAGAAUUUCUCUAGCCAGUUCCAAAAAUAACACUAAUACAUUUGCAAAUUGAAACUGAGGCUGUUAGGGCUGUGUUAAGUGUCCCUUUUUAUUUUCUCUAAAAAAAUGUGAGUUUUAGUGAAACAGAAGAUGUAAGCCCUCUAUUGAUCAUCUGAACUAGAUGGAAUGAGGGGGAGUGCAGGAGGGGGAGGCAGCAUCUUUGCCAAAAUCCACCUGCAACGUACACCAGAGGUAGCCAAUCUGCAGCACACAUGCCACAUCUGCCUCUUGUAUACAGCAGACUGGAGCAGAGACAGGCAGAGGCAGGUAGGGCAGGAAGCAGAAAUUAGAGCAGAAGAUCAGACAGGAAGGAGAAAGCACAGCAGCAGAUCAGCCAGGGAGCACAGGAUGUAGAAAGCAGAACCUCAGAGUGGGCAGUGGAAGAGCCUUGGGGUGGGACUCGGGGAUGGUGCUGGGCUACUUCAUGGCACAUCUCCCAAAAAGUUUGGUUCCCACUGGUGUAGGGUAUUCUAGAUAUGUGUAGAUGAUUAACUUAAUGGCAGACCUCAGUGUUUACUUUCCAAGAAAGAAAAGAUGUGUGCCUAAAUUUAAGUGGUUUGUAUAUAUGCUACUGGAUCUGAUUUCCAUUUUCAAUCAGUAUGUUGAGAAGUACUAUGUAGAAGUUUGACCUGGAGAAACCAGUUAGAUUACAGAGUAGUCUUUCUGCUGUUUUCAAUGUUACCAUCUUUGCUGAUUUAACCAGUAUGGAUGCAAAUGAUUGUGAUUUUUCAUAAGACUGUGUGGCAUGGAGAGUUUUCCACUUGGGAUAUAAUGAAGACAUCACUCAUAUACUCUGUGUAUAUCGUUUAAUGGCCGUUCAAUAGGAACAAAUUGUGAUCGUUGGAUUGAAUCCAUCCCACAUAAAAAAAAAAAAAUCUUACGUAUGACUGGCUUAGGCUUAAAAUGUUUUGGUGAAUUUAGAGCAUCUGGAAGUGAAUUCAUAGUAUCAGUAAAACUAGAGCCAGUUGUUGUUGAAAUAUGUAGCUAUGUAAAACUGUGGGAACUUUUAAGAUCUCCCUUUACAUUAUUUGGGAAAUAAUUACAACAAUCCCCUUUCCAAUUUCUCUUUUAACAAAGGAAAAGCAGAGAGGUGGGAAUCAUCAGAAUUUAGCAUUUAAUUCCCAUAGUCACACUGAGAUUUUCAAAGCAGUGAUGUGACACACACAUUCUUUUUGCAAAUAACAGGUCUUUUGAGAAUUAGAGACAUUGAGACUAAGCUACCUUACUUAAAAAAAUUAGAAUUUACCAUAAUUGUCUUCAUUCCAGUAACCCUUAUGAAUCCAAGAAUAUUAUAUAAGUGCAAAACAAUCCUCUUAAACACCCAUGGAAAUAAUAUCCAAUUUUGAAUACUCUUAUCACAAAACACAAGAUUCACAUGAGUACCACAGGCAAGUUAGUACAAUUAGACAAAUUGCUCUCCAGAUGGUACAAAAAUCUUAUUUUAAGUAAUCAGUUGAAAUGAUAUGGUAAAAAACACAACCCCCCUACAACUUAUAUAUUAUGUUGAAAAAUGGAUCUAAAUGCUUACUGUUCACUUGUAGAUGCUUUCACCUUAUGAAACGAUUCUGUUACAAUAUGUAAAGACAUUAUGGGUGUGUCCACACAUGCAGGCACAUGCAUUUGCAGUAGCUCAAGUAGGAGCAGCACAAAUUUGUGCCAGGGAUUUUUGCCUCAGCACACAUGCUUGGACAUGCACUUUGAUGUGGGGCAAGUUGUGCCACUUGGGGCAAAGAAAACCCCUGCCCAACUCCUCCUGGAUCUACAUUCAGGGGGAGCUAGAGCCUGGGGCCAGCGCCUGUGCUGGCCCCAGCAGUAUAAAAACCUGUCCUGGCAAGCAGCUUAGGGCUACUUGCCCUCAGAAACUUCUGGGGGAGGAGCCUCUGGGAGGAAGUUGGCCAUGCCCCUCCUGUCCCAGGCUGCUCUUGCUGCUAGUGGUUGCUGCAAGCUUGGUCUCAGGAGCUUCUGGGGAGAAGGUGGCCAGGCUCCUUCCUGCCUCUUGCUACUGCUAGCUGCUGGCUUGUUCUCAGAGCUUCUGGGGGUAAACUGGCUACACCCCUUCCUGCCUUGGGCUGCUGCUGUUGGUGCCCCCCCACGUGCUCUGAUGCACACCACUGUCCCCCCCCUGGGGAGGGGCCUACCACACUGCACUGCACCACCCCAGCACUGCACUCCAGCAACACACCACAGUUUCUGUAUUCCUGUUCCAGCCUGUUGCUGAGUCUGCUGCCAAGCCAUGGCUGGGGGACAGCCUGUGGAAGGAGCCUGCACUGCCUGUGGGCCCCUCCCACAUUAUCACUGCUAGAACCUAAAGGUGCCUUUCCCACCUCAGCUGCCUUGGCCUUUACCACCUUCACCUCCACUUUCACCUGAAGCACAACCUGAGUGGCUGAACUGGAUGGCUAAUACCACUACUGCUGCUAUUGCUGCUACUGUCUCUUCUGCUGCUGCCUCUUCUCAGGAGAGAGGGAGAUUCCCUGCUGCACCACCUAGUGCCACUCAACACCACACCUGCACUGGAUUAUUCCUUAAUUGACUCAUUGCUUCUGCCCCCGCACAGCUGCCUCACUGCAUCUGAUUCUGCUUUGUUUUCCUGCCUAUUGCUUUGCUGCUGAGUGCCUGGCUGGAGGCCUGAGGGACUCCUGGACUGAUCUUCAACAAAAAAAGCCCCUCCACCACUCCAGCUAUCUUUUACAUCUGCCUCAGCAGCCUUCCCUGUUUGUUUUUGCCCUUGUGUGGUACCAGCUGCAGUAAUGGAAGGGGAAUGAUUCCAUAUUUCUAUGGAGCAACUUACACUACACCAGGCCCAUUUACACGAGACCAACCAGCUAGGUGAAGUGCUUGUAUCAAAGAUGGAACAGCUGCUGCAGUUUACUCUGUUCUGAAGAAAAUUUGGGUUUUUGAAAAUGUCUCCUGGAGGUUCCAAUGCAAAAAUUGCCUAGCUGAACUGCCUGAUCCAACACCCACAAAUGUACUGCAAGAAACUGCACAGAACUUCCUCAGAGGAUACUGAAAAGAGAACAGCACUGGCCAGUGAGAAUCAACCAAGCUGGUGACAGAAAUUGAAUAUAGAUCUAAAUUCAGCUAGAGAUUCAACUAGACCUAAGAAGCUGUCACAAAGUCUCCAUACUGCUGGAUGCAGAAUACUGUAUGACACAGUUCAUCGUAUUGAGACUACGAUUGCUGAGAAAAAACUUAAAAAGAAUUUUGGGAAAAUGGAAUUGUUAUCCCAAGGAAUCUCAUUCCCAGUCAUUUUGUUCAGUUUUGAUUGGACAACAUUGACAUCUAGGAGGAGACACUGGAUGGAAAACAAAAGUUUCAUGCAACACAGAAUCUUGAAAGAUGUACCACCUGAAUUUAACAAAGUCAUUCCAAUGAUGCUGGCCCCAUAACAAGUCAUUGAAACCAUCUGUCCAUAGUAUGGGUAGUAACAUGAAAAAAAAGCUUGACAAGAUAGAUGUUCAACAGAUGUCAGGACAGCUACCACGGACACUGGGGAGAAGAUCGGCUGACAACCAAGAGAAUGUUGAUGUACUAAGGUAGACAAUUCUUGCCCAGUUUUUUUCCAAGGAUACUUCACCACCAUCAAUUGUUGGAUUUUGUCCUAUACUGCCUACACUAGCAUCUAAUGAUGAUACCAUUUGGACUGUCAUCAUGUGAUAUAAAAACAAUAGCCAAUUAUAAAAGGCUCAUUUGGAGAAGUGUGCUUGAACCUAUUUCAUCAUUGUCAUCGCCUGACCAGUGUGGCUGUCAAGCUGAAAAUGAUGGUUAUGUUCCUAUCAUAAACACACUUGAACCAUUACCAGCAGAAUACCUUUGGAUAACAAGCUGCCAAGUGCAAGACAGACUGCUGGGGACGAACAUGCUUGUGCCAGCAGAAUAAUGUCAUACACUUCUGACUGUGAGUGCUAUGAGACAGCAUGUUGCAAUCCAUAGAAUAACUGCAGGGAUUCAGAAACAGAUUCAAGUAAUGAAGAGAUCUGAAAAAGUGCAAUUACCCAUUGUAUUAAUCUUGUAUAUAUCAUUGUAUUACUGUUAUAUUGCCAUUGGAUUAGACUAUUACAUUUUCCUAUUGCCUUGAGUGGAACAUAUGUCUAUGGUUCAUUGCCAUGGAGUUAUGUAUUAUUAAUACCUAACUUAUCUGCCUUCUGAAAUUAAAAAAAAUGUAUUGUCUUAUUCAGUAUAACUAGAACAAGUACGCUAGCCUAUUUUCAGUACUGUAGGCCUGCUAUGAAAUUUGUAAUGACAGCAUCUAUGAAGUUUCAUAUUAGAAUAUUGUUUACUAGGGUUUUUUUUAUUACAGUGAGUCGCUAUAUGCUUGCUAAUGUGUCGGCCAUCUUAGAAUCCAACAUGGCUACCAUGACAAAUGUUACAAUUGAUCUUGAUUCAAACAAUGUUGGAUUUUGUCAUUGGAAUUAAAUUCUAACCCUAGUAGGUGAUGAAAUAUUGACCAAAACAUGAAUUUACAGCAGCAUCUUGGAUUCCAGUAUGUCAGCUACAUGCGCUACUUGCCAAAUUGGCAACAUGACUUCUCUGAUAUGGGUAGACCACCUCUACCUAAAAUGCACUGUUGCUGCUUGUGGUUAUGAGUUGCUUAUACAACAAAAUCUAUGAAUCUUAUUGGUCAAUUUAUACCUUUUACUAUUCUCCCUUCUAGGAUACUCUCUGUAAUUGCCCUUCUCUCUCCUCACCCCCACUCCGCUUCCUCUCCUUUCAUAUCUAUUUUCUUAAUACAGCUCCUCUCUUAUUUUUGUCCUUUAUGAUUUUUUUUUUUUAACUUGUCAAGAAUUCCUUGAUAAAAUAUUUUCUAGAAAAUGCCAAUUUGCAGUCACUGAAAGCUGUUCACAGGAAAUGGUUGAUUUCAACUUUUCCUAAAAUGGAAAGAAAAAAAUUCAAAUUGUUGAAAUACCCCAUUUUUACAUUUUCAAAAUGAAAUGUUUUUGUUUUUAUUUUUUGAUGUGUAAUUGGCUCUCACUAGGAAAAAAAUAUAAACAUUAAAAUGGACAAAAUCUGAAACUGUUUUUCCAUAAUCCAAACUUUUGGCGCGUCAUUCCCCAAACUUUUAGAAUGUGGCAAAGUGGGGCUCCCCACCUAGCCACAGUGCAAGGUUCUCCGCUUGCCUUUGGGUAUGCCUCCCACCUUACUCAACUGCCAUACCUUGUUCUUAAUUAAUUAAUUAAUUAAUUAAUAGUUGGUAAUUAAGGUGGGAGGCUGCCCAUUUUAUGCCCCAAUGACGGGGCAAUAUCUGCGGCUCUGUACCUCCCCUACACCACAGCCCAUGCCUCGCAGAUGGUAUCCAGAUGACAAAAUGCUUCCAACCUACUGCCAGAACAAGCUUAGGCCACACUGUCAGGCUUCAGUCACAUGCCCAUUCAUACCGUCUGCCUCUCACUCAGGCCUUACCCACUCCACCCUCUCUCACAGGGUCUCUUUCAUAGCUCAAUGACUCAUCAUGCCUUGCUCCCUCUUGAAGCAGGCACCUUAGGCCAUAGGCUUAGCUAGUCCAUCCCUUGGGUGGCAGAUGUACCAUCUUUAGGGUCUCUCCCAUGACCCUCACCAGGGUAGUGGCUAGCCAGUUGCCUGACCGGGUUUAAGCUUGCUCUAGCCCCUUCUGGGGGCAACUCUAUAUACCUAAACAUACUGGGCAUUCAGCCCUCUGGCACCUGAUCUAGUGCACAGGGCUAUGGCUCGUGGGGCUCCUUACAACAUCUUUGGGGAGCUCUGCUCCCAGAUUACACAGCACUGUGGUCUGGAUCUGUUCUGUGGGCCAGGGGUUGAGCACCUCUACUGUGGAACAUGGGAGACUUUUCUGGGGAAGGCAGGCUGUGUAUGGAAAAGGUAUUUAAACAUCAGCUUUGUUUGAACUUUUGCCUGAGCUUAGAUGGAAGUUUACAUAAUGCAGACUCAAAUGAUGUAUGAUUGCAAGUGGGGUGUACAUUCUGUGUGCAUGUUUCACAGAUGCCCUGUCACUUAACUGCCCACUAUCUCCUUUCGCAGGAGAUUAGAGAUACAUAAGUACCAUCAGGGUUUUUGUGAAGUUUAGUGUCUGCAACCUGCUUUGAGGAUAGAGAGAGUUAUAUCCUUAUUAAGCAUUCUAAUGCGCGCGCGUGUGUGCGCGCGCGCGCGCACACACACACACACACACACACACACACACACACACACACACACACACACACCCCUCUAUACAGUGUGUGUGUAUGUAUAGUGUGUGUGUGUGUAUGUAUAAUGUGUGUGUGUGUGUAUGUACAUAUAAAAACUUUAGAUUUAUAGGAUCUAUUUUAUUUAUCUAAAUUAUAAUUUUUUGAUGGGGGGUGAAAAUACUUCGGUUGUUUGUUUCUAUUUUUAAAAUCCUGGGGUUACACUUUUGUCACAAUUAAACCACAAAUUGUUUUAGCCAAGAUCUCUCCUUUACUACAGAUUUACAAAGCCCAAAUCAGUUUUGAUAAUAGGUUCCAUUUUCCCUCUCCUAAUGUCUAAUUAUUGGAAAGAGAUUAAAAUUCCAUUUUUAUACAUGAUUAUGAACUUGACAGUGGCUCUUUAAGUUCUGAAGACGUGCAGAGUAGUUUGGAAUGUAAGAUACAGUCGGGUACCAACAAUGUGAUGUGAGGUUGCUAGGCAACCCCCCUAUUGUUUUAAACAAACCACCUAGAGCUGGCAGCAGCUGUCAGAGCUCUUGGCUUCUACCAAUAACACAGAGCUGAAAAGAUCUUAGAAUAAAGGUCAUCCAAAAUAAGCUGCAAUAAAUAAAGGGAUCUUGGUGCUAGUAAACAGGAAUGCCUGUUUGUUAAAAUAUCAAUUAAAAUAAUAAAUGAAGCUGUUGACUUGGACUGUGUAUCUAAUCAAAUAUUUUAACUUAUGAAGUAUUUAAAAAUUUUAAUUAAAAGAGGUAAAAGCCUACUUGUUCAUUCCUUUUCUAAAUCUUAUUUUUCUUGUUGUGGAUAACAACAGGUCUGCCUGAGUGAAUAAUGUCAGCACUAUCUUUCUGCAAUAGUAAGUGAAAAUGUUUGUAGUUUAUCCAAAAAUAGGUCAUAUUUCACUGAAUUGUGUGUCUGUCUCUGCUCUGCAGCCAUUGUCCUGCUACUGAUUAUGUUGAAUUUAGAGGGGCCCUCUUCUUUUCCAGGGUCAGAUUUAAUAAAAGCAGAUCAGGCUUUAACAUACUGAAAACUACAAGGUAGAAUUAUUUUAAAUUAUGCUUUCCCCAUCUCUAAAAACCUGUUUUAAGCUUUCAAAAAUGUUUGCGUUCCAUAUUGAGAAGAAUUUGAGACUUUUAAUUUUUUUUUAAUGAAAAAGAAGUCAACCACCAUGGCGUGUUGGCCAAAGGACUCAGCUGGGACAGGGAAGACUCAGUUUCAAGUUUCUGCUUUGCUGUUUCCUGGCUUGCUUGGUGAUACCUCAAUCACUAGGCUACUGAUAUCAGGAGAUAGAUUAUUAUCUUUUGUUGGAACUGGUCCAUUGGGUAAUAUUAACUAAAUAUCCAUUGGUUGCACUGUGUAGCUCAGUGCUUAAAAAUGCAUCUGGAACUAGGGAUCUGUAGAAUAGUUCGUAGCCUGAUGUUUAGGGCACUGACGUGGCAGGUGGAAGAAUAACAAGCAGGAGUGAGUGAGCACAUUUACACAUGCACAGUUACUGUGCGGUAUCCUUAAAAUAAUGUGCAGUACAGGCAUGCAACUACACAGGCACAGUAUGGUGAUUAUGCCCGAUUAGGUACUGUGCAGUAAUGUAUGUGUAGAUGUCUUAGUGCACAGUAACACUGUGUGUGUGGACUAACUUGGGACUAACUUUAGUUCUAAGUCAGUCCAUACAGAGUUAAUGAGCUUUAAUGCCUGCAUGUGUAGAAGCUGGCCUAUUUCUGCUUACUGCUCAGUAACUUACUGUGUGCACAGUAAAUUUAAUGUGAAAUAAAUGCAUGGGUAGAUGCACCCAGUGAGUACUCUAGACACCACACUAUUUGGCAUUCUGGGGUUAGGUGCUUCCUUUUUCUAUGUGCUCUUAAUGAGAACUUCCAUCUGGACUUGAAAAUCCUUUCCCAAUGAAAAGAUGUAGUUAAAAUUGCUACAUUCCCAUGAAAGGUUUUUUGGAGUUGAUGAAUCAGGAUGUCCUUCUGAUAAUCCAUUUUAUUGCAAAAUUAAUUGUUCAAAUUACUGAUGAAAUUAUUGUUCUGCUGUACUGUAAAUUACCACUUUUGCUGCAUCCCACAAACUUUUAAAACUCUCUGUUUACAUGGAUACCAUAAUUUUCUUUGCCCUGGUUGUUUGUUAAUCAUAGAUUUUUAAGCAGUUGAUAAAUAUAAAAAAUGAUUGUUUGCCUUUGGCUUUUUAGUAGUAACAAUGCUGAAAUCUGCAAGCUUGGAUUAUGAAAAGAUAGUGAAAGAGAUUGUUCAGAUGUCUGCAUCUGUGCACACAAUCUCUAUGAGAAAAGUCAUUUGUGUGGGAGUUUCCCUUUGUGGGAUCAAACAGAACUCCAAGGCAAUCUGCAGUUUCUUAAAGAACAUAAGGGUAUGCUGAAACAUCUGCUUUGAGAAGCCACUUGAAAAGUAACCAUGUACAACAAGAGAGGAACAUCUGUGCAGACCUCUAAUAUCAUAGCCAGUGAGAGGAAAAUAGAAAGAAGCCACAAACAACUCACAUAAGGCAUUCUACUGAACAGUGUAUGCCAUUGGUCCUUUUCUAGUCACAUCCACAUAUAGGGGAAAAGCAAUAUGUUGGGUUCUUGUCUUAGAAACAGUAUUUAAAGGCCUGUUUUUUUGGAAAUUGGCUUGUGGGUAUAGAUAUAUGCAUUAUAGGUAGUCAAGAUGGGCAGCAGGGGUUAAAUGGAUUUCUAAAGAGCUUGGGAGAUGCACACACAGCUUCUCGUGGCCCUGAAAACAGAUGGGCUGUCUAGCACAAAAAGGCCAACGGAUGGACAUAUCCUGAGAUUUGAGGGGUGCAUGCCAAGACACAAGUUCAUAGCCUUUAAAGCAGACAGGCUGUCUAACACAACAAAGACACAAAGCCUGGGAACCAAAGAAGUAUAUACCAUACUGUCCCAUAACACGAGAUAAGUGAUACCAGCUACAAGGCCCCAGAGCAGCAGGGCAGGAGAUUAACAAAGGGUCUCUCUUGUCCCUCCCAUCCUUCCCUGUUCCUUUUUUUCCCAUCCCUCCUUGUUGUCCUCCUCCUUCUCUUCUUUGAGAGUGGUUCCCAUCCCCAUCCCUAUCCCCUGAGGCCACCAUGGACAUGCUGCUGGUGUGUGCCCUAUCUCAUACACCCCACCAAAGCGGGGUUGUGGGCCUCGGCAUCCCUCCUCCAGACUGCUGACACCUAAGAGAGAGAGCCUCAGAGUGGAGCCUGUAUCCUGAUCAGAUGUACCUUGACUCCGAUGAAAGCCCUAGGAUUGGUAGAUAUAGAAUUGCUUGAUUGUUUGUAUUGUUUUGUUGUUCUUAUUCUGUAUCAAUAA